rnacentral:rRNA from 1 species
GAUGAACGCUGGCGGCGUGCCUAAUACAUGCAAGUCGAGCGAACAGACGAGGAGCUUGCUCCUCUGACGUUAGCGGCGGACGGGUGCGUAACACGUGGAUAACCUACCUAUAAGACUGGGAUAACUUCGGGAAACCGGAGCUAAUACCGGAUAACAUGUUGAACCGCAUGGUUCAACAGUGAAAGACGGUCUUGCUGUCACUUAUAGAUGGAUCCGCGCCGCAUUAGCUAGUUGGUAAGGUAACGGCUUACCAAGGCAACGAUGCGUAGCCGACCUGAGAGGGUGAUCGGCCACACUGGAACUGAGACACGGUCCAGACUCCUACGGGAGGCAGCAGUAGGGAAUCUUCCGCAAUGGGCGAAAGCCUGACGGAGCAACGCCGCGUGAGUGAAGAAGGUCUUCGGAUCGUAAAACUCUGUUAUUAGGGAAGAACAAAUGUGUAAGUAACUAUGCACGUCUUGACGGUACCUAAUCAGAAAGCCACGGCUAACUACGUG